UGACCCUCAGCGCUGAAAUGGGAACUUACAUUUGGAGGAGCUAUCUCGCCAGCUGGGAAGCUGCAGAGCAUCGUUCCAUUGGUGAAGAGCAUCCACAGAGAGUGAGGUUCCCCAAGCAUCGCCUGCCCACAUGGACACCAGGGAAAGGGACUGAAGAGGAUCAGACUGCGAAUGUAGGGAGCAAACAGAUGGAGAGGAACAGCACCAAACAAGAACUCCAUCAUGCCACCCUUUGACAAAAGGUCUUCCACUGCAAACCUGCCACCAAGCACACAGAGCAAGAUGCCCUGUAUUGACCUGCUGAGCGCAUCACUGCCGCCCUGGGCACAAGUACUGCAGGCACCCUUUGAACAGCCUUCAUGUCCCCUCUGAGCACCCUCCUACCACUGCCAUGAUCUCAGAGAGCCCAGCAGGAGCUGCCUGGCAGCAGCAGAACCACUGCAAAGUGUCUUGGUGAGUACUUGCAGGAUCCAGGCAGCAGCAAGGACCAAUUCUCCCAGCCCCACUGAGGGUGUGAAGAGGCUGAGCAGGGCUUACAGCGUGUGGCAUCAGCAGGGCAUGCAGCCUGGGACCUCACGUGUACUUUAAUGCACUCAGUGAGAGAGGGAGACAACAAAACAGGGCAGGACAGGGGAUUUCCUAACAAAAGGUGGCUGGGUAGAGGUCUUAGGUACAUUUUACCUGAUCUCAAGCAUUUUCUAAUGGCACUUACUGAUGGACUCAGAAGGUCUAAGUUCAAAGAACUACUGAAGCUGAGGACAGAUAGGAAAAGAUGCAGUGUUUCAGCUGUCAAACAGGAGGCUCAGUGCAGAAACAAGCCUCCCUGCUAACUCCAAGUACAAAUCUCAGGUGAGGGGGGAUGAAGAGAUCCAUGCCUUCCUCCUCCCGCAUUCCCAACACAGUGUUCAGCUUACCGUAAAGACAUUUGUGGUGUGGAACCACAUCUAACACCUACCAGAUAGGCUGUCCACACUUUCCAUUGCAGGCAUCAGUUUCCAGUCAUUUAAAACUUCAUCCAGCUUCACUCCAUUUGGUUUCCCAUCCCAGAGCUCCUGUCUCAGAGAUGAAGGUGGGUGCUGCCAUUGCUCCUUCUCUCUGGAUGCUGGUGGACAGGAUGACACUGGCAUCAGGACUUGGCUGUUGGCUGAGCUGUGACCUGCCACACAGGCUGCGUGCAGCUGUACUGACCCAGAGCAGGACGGAUUCCUCACCAUUACAAAAAGACCUCCCUAUCUUGCAAUGGAGAUGUCUUUUGGGCACAGCAUGCACCCUGUCCACCUCCAUCAGCCGUUUCAUGCCAAGUUAACAGGUCCAAGGGCAGCAUGCAGAGAACAAGACCUGCAGAAGGAGGGUAGAGAUAGGGAUGCCACCUUCAGCACUGCCUGGGAAGCAACAUGGAGAUUGGUGGCCCUGCAUGCACCUGACCGCGACAGCCUCAAAGCAUCAAGAUAACUCACAUUUCAUACGUAGCUGGAACUACCUCCCAGUGUCCCAGAACAUGGAACAAGGAAUCCUUGUACCAAGGGAUGGCAUCAGACCCAUCAAGCUGUGCCCUGGGGCUACAAAAUGCAGCAGGGUCCAUGCAAGGCUGUUGUGCAUUGCUCUGUUCUGGAGGAACUGUUUCAGUGUCACCCUUCUGGUUUUAUUUCAUUGCGUUGGUUCUUUUUCCUUUGUUAAAGUUGCUGCUCUCCCUUUCAAAGUCA